UUCCUAGAUAACAACGCACCACUGCAACGCUCUAUAUCCACCCACUAGCUUGUUGAAUCGUACAAUUGGGAACGUCUUGCUCAUGCGGCUUAGUUACCAGACCUGGUGCCUUCCGAUUAUAAUUUGUUUGCAUCGAUGGGCCACGCAUUCAUUGAUUUACGCUGUGAUUCUCACGCUGAAGCCAUAAAUGGACCCAUGGCUGGUUUGCAGCCAAAGAGGAACAAGUUUUUUUUGGAUAAGUAUCCAUAAAUGACCUGAAAAAUGGGGAAAAUGUGCGACUAGCGAAAGCGCAUACUUUGAAAAUUAAAUUUGUAACCAUUUUUUCACUAUAAACCUUCAAAAUUUAAAAAAAAAGUCUCAUUUCAUAGGCACAUACCUGGUAAAUGUUAAUUCUUAAAAUAAUGAGUUCGAACCAUUUUUUUACCGGUGUACUUUAGCUGAGGGAAAAGAGGAAGAAGGAACACAAACAAAUAAAUUUGAAUGAACAUACUUAGUUUUACAACAAGAAGUUGUUACAUAUACUGGGAGUAUUUGUAAUAAUUUAUUGCUUGUCAUUAACUUUUUGGCUCAAAAUGUUUAAACUAAAUAGGUUAGACUUGCAACGAUCAUCAUCAAAAUCCCUUUGACCCUUACCUGCUUUCUGGGUCAUCAUAUCUCAGGACAGAUUAAAAUCAGGGUCAACCUUAGCUCUAAGCCUCCAGUGGCCAUUGGAUAACGUAACUGGGACAUUUUUGAGUAUGCUGCAAGGAAUUUUAUAUAUGUAUACAUGGUUGUACUUGGUAAAAGCUCCAUAAACCUGUCAAGGAUUUUUACUAUAUUAACCAGAAUUAUUCUUUCUUUUACAACUAAGACCAAGAUUUUGGACUCAGACGAAUAAUACCUCGUUAGAAUUUA
rnacentral:lncRNA from 1 species